AGCAUAUCAAUAAGCGGAGGAAAAGAAACCAACAGGGAUUGCCCUAGUAACGGCGAGUGAAGCGGCAAGAGCUCAAAUUUGAAAGCUGGCUCCUUCGGGGUCCGCAUUGUAAUUUGCAGAGGAUGCUUCGGGAGCGGUCCCCGUCUAAGUGCCCUGGAACGGGCCGUCAUAGAGGGUGAAAAUCCCGUAUGGGACGGGGUGUCCGCGCCCGUGUGAAGCUCCUUCGACGAGUCGAGUUGUUUGGGAAUGCAGCUCUAAAUGGGUGGUAAAUUUCAUCUAAAGCUAAAUAUUGGCCGGAGACCGAUAGCGCACAAGUAGAGUGAUCGAAAGAUGAAAAGCACUUUGAAAAGAGAGUUAAAAAGCACGUGAAAUUGUUGAAAGGGAAGCGCUUGCGACCAGACUCGCCUACGGGGUUCAGCCGGCAUUCGUGCCGGUGUACUUCCCCGUGGGCGGGCCAGCGUCGGUUUGGGCGGCCGGUCAAAGGCUCCCGGAAUGUAACGCCUCUCGGGGCGUCUUAUAGCCGGGGGUGCAAUGCGGCCUGCCUGGACCGAGGAACGCGCUUCGGCACGGACGCUGGCAUAAUGGUCGUAAGCGACCCGU
rnacentral:rRNA from 1 species